rnacentral:tRNA from 1 species
UUAAUUGAAGCCAAAUAGAGGCAUAUUAAUGUUAAUAAUACCAAUGAAUAUAUGUUCCAAUUAAU